GGAUAGGAGUCUCCAUAAGUUGAGUUUCAUCCCACCAGCCUUGUGUUGAAGUUGUUGACUGAUUGCUGGUUCUUUUUUGUUUCUUUGUAGAGGGAGUUUUUGGUUGUAAGAGGGUUUUUUUCCCCGUGCUAUUUGAGGUCAUUGCUGGUUGGAGAUUUGGAUUGUUUGAGUGCUCCGGCCCAGAGAUCAUCAAUGCUCUUUUCCCUGCAUUGUACAUAGUUAUCUCUUGUGUACUGUUAUG
rnacentral:lncRNA from 1 species